rnacentral:rRNA from 1 species
AUUGAACGCUGGCGGCAUGCUUUACACAUGCAAGUCGAGCGGCAGCGCGGCCUUCGGGCUGGCGGCGAGCGGCGAACGGGUGAGUAAUUCAUCGGAACAUGCCCAGUCGUGGGGGAUAACACUUCAAAAGAAGUGCUAAUACCGCAUACGUCCUGAGGGGGAAAGCGGGGGAUCGCAAGACCUCGCGCGAUUUGAGUGACCGAAGUCAGAUUAGCUAGUUGGUUGGGUAAAGGCCUACCAAGGCGACGAUCUAUAGCUGGUCUGAGAGGAUGAUCAGCCACACUGGAACUGAGACACGGCCCAGACUCCUACGGGAGGCAGCAGUGGGGAAUUUUGGACAAUGGGGGCAACCCUGAUGCAGCCAUUCCGCGGGAGUGAAGAAGGCCUUCGGGUUGUAAAGCUCUUUCGGCAGGAACGAAACGGUGGGCUCUAACAUAGUCCGCUAAUGACGGUACCUGAAGAAGAAGCACCGGCUAACUACGUG